UACGUAGGCAGCAAGCGUUGUUCGGAAUUACUGGGCGUAAAGAGUUCGUAGGCGGUGCGGCAAGUUCGGUGUGAAAUCUCCCGGCUCAACUGGGAGGGUGCGCUAAAUACUGCCGUGCUCGAGUAUAGGAGAGGUAAGCGGAAUUCCUGGUGUAGCGGUGAAAUGCGUAGAUAUCAGGAGGAACACCUGUGGUGUAGACGGCUUACUGGACCGACACUGACGCUGAGGCGCGAAAGCUAGGGGAGCAACGGG
rnacentral:rRNA from 1 species